rnacentral:rRNA from 1 species
GCCACGCCCGCUCAGAAACUACAAAGGAAGUUGACGGGGCCCGGCACAAGCAGCGGAGCAUGUGGUUUAAUUCGAAGCAACGCGAAGAACCUUACCAAGACUUGACAUCCCCUGACAGCUGUUGAAAGGCAGUGUCUCUUCGGAGCAGGGAGACAGGUGGUGCAUGGUUGUCGUCAGCUCGUGUCGUGAGAUGUUGGGUUAAGUCCGCAACGAGCGCAACCCUUAUCCUUAGUUACCAGCACGUAAAGGUGGGGACUCUAGGGAGACCGCCGGGGACGACUCGGAGGAAGGUGGGGACGACGUCAAAUCAUCAUGCCCCUUAUGUCUUGGGCUACACACGUGCUACAAUGGCCGCAACAGAGGGAAGCGAGAGCGCAAGCUGGAGCAAAACCCUAAAAAGCGGUCCCAGUUCGGAUUGUGGGCUGCAACCCGCCCACAUGAAGUCGGAGUUGCUAGUAAUCGCGAAUCAGCAUGUCGCGGUGAAUGCGUUCCCGGGCCUU